rnacentral:rRNA from 1 species
AUUGAACGCUGGCGGCAGGCCUAACACAUGCAAGUCGAGCGGAUGAAGGGAGCUUGCUCCUGGAUUCAGCGGCGGACGGGUGAGUAAUGCCUAGGAAUCUGCCUGGUAGUGGGGGAUAACGUCCGGAAACGGGCGCUAAUACCGCAUACGUCCUGAGGGAGAAAGUGGGGGAUCUUCGGACCUCACGCUGUCAGAUGAGCCUAGGUCGGAUUAGCUAGUUGGUGGGGUAAAGGCCUACCAAGGCGACGAUCCGUAACUGGUCUGAGAGGAUGAUCAGUCACACUGGAAGUGAGACGCGGUCCAGACUCCUACGGGAGGCAGCAGUGGGGAAUAUUGGACAAUGGGCGAAAGCCUGAUCCAGCCAUGCCGCGUGUGUGAAGAAGGUCUUCGGAUUGUAAAGCACUUUAAGUUGGGAGGAAGGGCAGUAAGUUAAUACCUUGCUGUUUUGACGUUACCAACAGAAUAAGCACCGGCUAACUUCGUG